rnacentral:rRNA from 1 species
CUGGGAUUAGAUACCCUGUUAUUAAAAGUGUAAUUAUGAAUACUUAGGUAUUAAUAGUUAUGAUCUUUAAACUUAAAAAAUUUGGCGGUAUUUUAGUCUAUUCAGAGGAACCUGUUUUAUAAUCGAUACUCCACGAUGGACCUUACUUAAGUUUGUAAUCAGUUUAUAUACCGUUGUUAUUAGAAUAUUUUAUAAGAAUGAUAAUUUUCAUAAUUUUUGAUAAAAAAUAUAUCAAAUCAAGGUGUAGCUAAUAUUUAAGUAAAAAUGGGUUACAAUAAAUUUAUUUAAAUGAAUAUAAAUUUGAAAUGUUUAUUGAAGGUGGAUUUGAUAGUAAAUUUAUAUAGAUUAAUAAUUUGAUUUUAGCUCUAAAAUAUGUACAAAUCGCCCGU